CCUACGGGAGGCAGCAGUGGGGAAUAUUGCGCAAUGGGCGAAAGCCUGACGCAGCGACGCCGCGUGAGGGAUGAAGGUCUUCGGAUCGUAAACCUCUGUCAGCAGGGAAGAACGGUCACUGUGCUAAUCAGCAGUGAAUUAACGGUACCUGCAAAGGCAGCACCGGCUAACUCCGUGCCAGCAGCCGCGGUAAUACGGAGGGUGCGAGCGUUAAUCGGAAUUACUGGGCGUAAAGCGCUCGUAGGCGGUAUGUCAAGUCAAGGGUGAAAUCCCCGCGCUCAACGUGGGAACUGCCUUUGAAACUGGCAAACUGGAGUGUGUGAGAGGAUAGUGGAAUGCCAGGUGUAGGAGUGAAAUCCGUAGAUAUCUGGAGGAACAUCAGUGGCGAAGGCGACUAUCUGGAACAUAACUGACGCUGAGGAGCGAAAGCGUGGGUAGCAAACAGGAUUAGAUACCCCAGUAGUC
rnacentral:rRNA from 1 species